ACAUACAAUACAACAAGCAAGGAAGAACAAUUUAUUUAAGUUAUCAUUUGUUGUUUUAUUAGGUAGUGUUAGACUUAGACUCAUCCGGACCCGGAAUGAAUAUCGAGCUAUGGCGGGUCAUGCACUUGUGGUGGCCUCUACUGNUUUGCAAAGCCAUUGCCAAUGGGUUUCACCCUACCACACACAAGGUUAGUUCGUUAUCACUCACCUUGGCCCAUAUAAAAUGGAGACAACCAAGACUAGGACCCCCUACUACUCUUCACCACAUGAACUAAUCUUCUCUAAGUGAGAUUGAAUAGUCAUUAGAGCUUUAAGGGCAACCCCCAAGACUGAGCUACCUAUAUUCAUUCCAGAAACUUACUUAGAUCUCAUUCUCAUAACUUAAUUUGAUCUCACCUAGAGAUGUACUUAAAUCACAUUACAUUUCACACUAACUUUACUUACUUUAAUUCUUAAAGUUAUACAUGAAGUUAGGAGAUUAAUUUGGUUUUGUUACAUUAUCAAGCAUAGAUCAAUCCAAUAAUAUUAAUAGAAGUCAUACAAGAGGAACCAUAACAAAUACAUGAAUCAUCACACAAGGAAGAAGAGGAGACAAGAAUUACAUAUUUUCAGAAAAACAUCACUUAUUAAUACAAAUAUCUUUGUAAUCUUAAAUUACCAAUACUUAGGUAAUUCAAAUAGCUUGGAAACCCACACCAUUGGCUCCGGAAGGGUCAAAAACCCCCAGAACGACCUAGAGAACGUCCAAAACGGACGUCCGGAACCCCACAAACUAUCAAAAACAGACAUGACAGCAGAAAAUGGUGCCCGAGUGCCCGUUAGGG
rnacentral:lncRNA from 1 species